GGAUAGGGAAUUGCAAUUAUUUCCCUUGAACGAGGAAUUCCCAGUAAGCGCGAGUCAUUAGCUCGCGUUGAUUACGUCCCUGCCCUUUGUACACACCGCCCGUCGCUACUACCGAUUGAAUGGUUUAGUGAGGUCCUCCGAUUGGACCCGGUCCGGGCGGCGACGUCCGAGCCGGCGUCCGAGAAGACGAUCUAACUUGAUCAUUUAGAGGAAGUAAAAGUCGUAACAAGGUUUCCGUAGGUGAACCUGCGGAAGGAUCAUUA
rnacentral:ncRNA from 1 species